CCUACGGGAGGCAGCAGUGGGGAAUUGUUCGCAAUGGGCGAAAGCCUGACGACGCAACGCCGCGUGGAGGAUGAAGGUCUUCGGAUUGUAAACUCCUGUUGCUCGGGACGAAUAGCUUCAACCUAAUACGUUGAGGUCUGACGGUACCGAGUGAGGAAGCCCCGGCUAACUCUGUGCCAGCAGCCGCGGUAAUACAGAGGGGGCAAGCGUUGUUCGGAAUUACUGGGCGUAAAGGGCGCGUAGGCGGCCCGCUACGUCGAACGUGAAAUCCCCGGGCUCAACCCGGGAACUGCGUCCGAUACUGGUGGGCUUGAAUCCGGGAGAGGGAUGUGGAAUUCCAGGUGUAGCGGUGAAAUGCGUAGAUAUCUGGAGGAACACCGGUGGCGAAGGCGGCAUCCUGGACCGGCAUUGACGCUGAGGCGCGAAAGCCAGGGGAGCAAACGGGAUUAGAUACCCCGGUAGUCCUGGCCCUAAACGAUGAAUGCUUGGUGUGGCGGGUAUCGAUCCCUGCCGUGCCGAGCUAACGCAUAGCAUUCCGCUGGGGAUACGGUCGCAAGGCUGAAACUCAAAGGAUUGACGG
rnacentral:rRNA from 1 species